rnacentral:rRNA from 1 species
GACGAACGCUGGCGGCGUGCCUAACACAUGCAAGUCGAACGGAAAGGUCCGGCUUUUGUGCGUGCGCGAGUGGCGAACGAGGGAGGAACACCUGAGGAACAUGCUACCUACUUGGGGGGAAUUUCAGGAAAAGAGGGCUACUACCGGCUAGGAACUUCUGGUGCCUGGUGGGGCCUGGGAAGUUUGGGCGGUUGGGGAUGGACUCGGGGCUUUUCGGCUUGUAGGAGGGGUAGGGGCGUGCCAAGGCUUAGACGGGUAGCCGGCCUGAGAGGGCCACCGGCCACAUUGCGCCUGAGAUGCGGCCCAGCCUCCUACGGGCGGCAGCGGUGGGGAGUAUUGCACAGUGGGCGGGAGCCUGAUGUGGCAACGCCGCGUGCGGGACGACGUCCUUCGGGUUGUAAACCGCUUUCGCCUGAGCCGAAGCGUUAGUGACGGUAAUGGGUCAAGAAGCACCGGCUAACUACGUG